rnacentral:rRNA from 1 species
GACGUAGGGUGCAAGCGUUGUCCGGAUUUAUUGGGCGUAAAGGGCUCGUAGGCGGUUUGUCGCGUCGGGAGUGAAAACUCAGGGCUUAACCCUGAGCCUGCUUCCGAUACAGGCAGACUAGAGGUAUGCAGGGGAGAACGGAAUUCCUGGUGUAGCGGUGAAAUGCGCAGAUAUCAGGAGGAACACCGGUGGCGAAGGCGGUUCUCUGGGCAUUACCUGACGCUGAGGAGCGAAAGUGUGGGGAGCGAACAGG